AUUGAACGCUGGCGGCAGGCCUAACACAUGCAAGUCUGGCGAGUGGCGGACGGGUGAGUAAUGUCUGGGGAUCUGCCUGAUGGAGGGGGAUAACUACUGGAAACGGUAGCUAAUACCGCAUACCAUCAGAUGAACCCAUAUGGGAUUAGCUAGUAGGUGAGGUAACGGCUUACCUAGGCGACGAUCCCUAGCUGGUCUGCGAGGAUGAACAGCCACACUGGGACUGAGACACGGCCCAGACUCCUACGGGAGGCAGCAGUGGGGAAUAUUGCACAAUGGGCGCAAGCCGGAUGCAGCCAUGCCGCGUGUAUGAAGAAGGCCUUCGGGUUGUAAAGUAAUUUCAGUCGGGAGGCGUGACCGACAGAAGAAGCACCGGCUAACUCCGUGCCAGCAGCCGCGGUAAUAC
rnacentral:rRNA from 1 species